AAUUUUAAUCAACGGGUACAUAGUUAGUGUACUCCGUAAAGACUGUGCAAUGUCUCUCCAGAAGCACACUAAGACAAGGCGCUUCUAGAAGACGCUUGGAAGACGAUGGAAGGAGGUGGAAAGUGGAUGGAAGGAGUUGGCAUCCCAUCCCUGUGCAUGCUUAUCGUGCAACACAGUUGACGAGUCGUUGCGAGAAAAUAAACCUCUACAUACAUACACAGGAAAAUAUCCGCAUAAGCCCCACAGCGAUGACCCACCCGCAUGGAAAGGGAUACGGUCCAGCGCAUCAUUAGCUGGGGAUGAUGAGAAAACAAGUGCGAGGAUAACAGUAACAGUAAC
rnacentral:sRNA from 1 species